CUUUAUCAUUUAUAGGCACAUGUAAGUGUCUAGCUCUGUGUACAUCCCUAAACAGCAUAGCGAUUUUUAACUACAUGGAAUCGUAUUGUGUGUUUUCCCGUGGCUCUGGCUUCUUGGUUUAGCAUUGUGAGAUGCACUCAUGGUGUUGCGUGUAGCUAGAGUUACUCGUUUUCACUGCUGUAUAGUGUUCUGUUGCCUAUAAAAUACCCCUUCGGCCAAUGGGCGGCAGCUUGCCGGGAUUGCUGUCCUUGCCAUUGGACUAUGGCUCCGAUUCGACUCUCAGACCAAGAGCAUCUUCGAGCAAGAAACUAAUAAUAAUAAUUCCAGCUUCUACACAGGAGUCUAUAUUCUGAUCGGAGCCGGCGCCCUCAUGAUGCUGGUGGGCUUCCUGGGCUGCUGUGGAGCUGUGCAGGAGUCCCAGUGCAUGCUGGGACUGUUCUUCGGCUUCCUCUUGGUGAUAUUCGCCAUUGAAAUAGCUGCGGCCAUCUGGGGAUAUUCCCACAAGGAUGAGGUGAUUAAGGAAGUCCAGGAGUUUUACAAGGACACCUACAACAAGCUGAAAACCAAGGAUGAGCCCCAGCGGGAAACGCUGAAAGCCAUCCACUAUGCGUUGAACUGCUGUGGUUUGGUUGGGGGCGUGGAACAGUUUAUCUCAGACAUCUGCCCCAAGAAGGACGGACUCGAAACCUUCACCGUGAAGUCCUGUCCUGAUGCCAUCAAGGAGGUCUUCGAUAAUAAAUUCCACAUCAUCGGCGCAGUGGGCAUUGGCAUCGCUGUGGUCAUGAUAUUUGGCAUGAUCUUCAGUAUGAUCUUGUGCUGUGCUAUCCGCAGGAACCGCGAGAUGGUCUAGAGUCAGCUUACAUCCCUGAGCAGGAACGUUUACCCAUGAAGAUUGGUGGGAUUUUGUUUUGUUUUGUUUUGUUUGUUGUUUGUUUUUUUGCCACUAAUUUUAGUAUUCAUUCUGCAUUGCUAGAUAAAAGCUGAAGUUAUUUUAUGUUUGUCUUUUAAUGCUUCAUUCAAUAUUGACAUUUGUAGUUGAGCGGGGGGUUUGGUUUGCUUUGGUUUAUAUUUUUUCAGUUGUUUGUUUUUGCUUGUUAUAUUAAGCAGAAAUCCUGCAAUGAAAGGUACUAUAUUUGCUAGACUCUAGACAAGAUAUUGUACAUAAAAUAAUUUUUUUGUCUUUAAAUAGAUACAAAUGUCUAUCAACUUUAAUCAAGUUGUAACUUAUAUUGAAGACAAUUUGAUACAUAAUAAAAAAUUAUGACAAUG
rnacentral:sRNA from 1 species